GCCGAGGUCCUCUUCUAGGAUUGGUUGUCCACUCAUAACCAUAAGAUAAUUAAAACGGGGGGGGGGCAGGGUAAAAAAAACCCCUUUUAUCAGCCAUAGGUUAAUGCAAGUGUUUAACAGAUGCUUCGCUAUUAAAAUAUUUCCCCCCAAUACUGAAGAAUCUUAAACCAGCAACCCUAACAGAGAUUGUGAAGAUUUUCAAAGUGGGGCACCUCGAUUUCUCGAAUCUGUGGUGUGGCGAAUAUCCGUGUUCCUCCUGCUUAACUAGCCUGUUUGAAGGCACAGUUCAUUCUCGAGCAAUUCGUCACCUCCUGGGGGUCUUCUCUUCCCGUCUACAGGAGAGUGUGACUUCAGAAAGAACUUCGGAUUGGCCAAGGCAGGUCUGAUUCUAUUUAUUCUAAAGACAGAGUUGGAGAUGGGCUACCAUUGGUGUUGAUUGAGAUGACAAGCAGUCACCUGAGCCCAUACAGCUGGGUUCACAGAUGUGGCUACUCUUGCUAGCCAGCUCGCACUGUGGAAAUUCUAGGGAACUGACUGCAGUCCUCAUGCUUGGAGUCAAACACUUUAACCACUGCACACGUUUAUGUAAUAGGAUUGACAUAUGAGAAUCAGAGAAAUGAAUGAAAGAUUAGAGUGGGAGAAAGUGCUUGCUGCCAAGCUUGAUGACCUAAAUUGAAUCCUGGAACCUACACGACAGAAAGAGAGAGCUGACUGCUGAAAGAUGUCCUCAGAUCUUCACAUAUGCACAGUGGCACCUAUCCAACCAUGCACAUAGUAUAUUAAAAAUUAUUUUUUAAAAAA
ensembl:processed_transcript AV026068 expressed sequence AV026068